ACACUGCUAAAAUAUUAUCCCGAGAUUGAAGAAGGUGUCACGGUCCAACAAGAUGAUCGAUGAUUUACAUGAUUGUGCAAGCUGAGGGAUUUUCUUCAUAAUACCCUCUGUUGCCACUGCCGUAACUGUCAUACACAGGCCUCCCAUAAUAACCAUCAUACUGGAUGUACGGGGAUGGCCCCCCGCCAUAACCACUAUGCCACGACCCACAUGCACGCCCCUGGUAACAAUCCAUACAACACGCUUGAACAGGCGGUGGGUACCCUGGCACAUAAGGAACCGGCUGCAUAUAAAGAGGAGAAUGCUUCACUAGCUCCAUCUGUGGUAUAGACUUCUGGACCUCCUUGGGUGUGUCUGCCGGUUUAGAUUUGUCGGCCUCUUUGGGUUUUUCUAUGCCUUUAGGUUUGUCUGCAAGCUGUGGCUUGGGCUUCUCGGGCUCUUUGAUCUCGAUGCUUUUGAUAACACUCCCACCUUUGUAGCAAAUCUUGUCCCUUAUCUUUUCAGGACUGCAGCAUACCACUUUGAUCACCACUUGGUUUUGCUUCUCGUCAUAUAUCUGAUCUUGUAUUUCUCUUGUUCACAAACACACAUUAAUUUACUCAGUUUACAUUUAAUCUAAAUUAGUCUUAUUUUCCUAAAAAGAACAAACUUUAACUAUGGUUUUUCAUCAAAUAACUAUAGACGAAUCAAGGAGAAGAGAGACUCACGAGGGAAUUUACGAAGAACUUUUUUGACCUUCUUGUAGCAUUUGUGACACUGAAGAUCCACCUUCAGCACCAUAAUCGUAACCUGAAUUAUCCAUUUUUAAUAUUAAUAGAAAAAAUAUGUACAUUAACCAAAGAUUGACAAGAAUGAAUCUUCAGAAAAUAUAUAAAUAUACAGAAGAUUGUUGUACAAAAGUGUAGACAAAAAGAAAUGGAACAUUGCUGCUGGACAAUCAGGGUUCUGACUGACUGAGAGGGAAGAACCAUGGUGAAGGUAUGUGGCAAAAUCAGUAACAAAGAGAGAGAGAGAGAGAGAGAGAGAGAGAGAGAGAGAGAGGCGAAAAACAACAAAAUAGCACAGAGGAGGGGACAUGGGUUCUUAUUAGGAUAUAAAUAAAAGAAUGGGAACCACAAAAACUUAAACAAGAGCUUAAAGCCUUUUAGUUUUAGCCGUACAAAUCCUCAUUUGGGUUAUCUGCUUAUCCUUGGAAGAAGAAAAUGAAGAGAACGCAAACUAUACCAAAUAUUACGUACCUUUUCCUUUUCCCCCAUUGCAGUGAGUAGUGGAAUGAGAACUUCUCAACUAAAAUGAUUGAAUGGGACUACUGCUCUCAUGAAACCGACUUUUAUAAUUAUUAGUUAUGAGCACGCACCAUGUGUGUGAACAAUUUCAUUUUGUUUUUUGUUUAUUAAGAAGUGUGAUUAGUUUUUAAAAUUUUAAAAAGAGUAUGAAAAAAUGAUGAUGGAACAAUUUCUCUUAAUAAGUGCAUAUUUUAUCUUAAUAUUACAUAAUUACUAUUUUGCCCUCCUUAUGUAAAUAUUAUGUAUCAAAAGUGAGGGUAAAAUAGGAAAAAUAGAGAUAUGUUUGUCAUUUUCUCAAAAGAUACAAAAUUACUAUUUUGCCCUCCUUAUGUAAGUAUUGUGUAUUAAAAGUGAGAGAAAAAUUGGAAAAAUGUGCAAAAGAUACAAAAUUACUAUUUUGCACUCCAUAUGUAAGUAUUGUGUAUGAAAAGUGAGGCCAAAAUUGGAAAAAAGGGGGAAAAAGUUGACAACAAGGGUUUUCUUAAUAUAUACUAUAGAUAUAUACAUAUUUCUACAAAAAUAUAUAAAAAUAGGAAUAUAAUUCGGUGGAACAAAGCAAAGAGAAAGAGAGAAGGAGAGAGCAAUAUAGGAAGGUUGAUUUCAUGCUAUAUGGUGGACAAAAGUUUCAUUGUAACUGUAAUACGAGUGGUAUACCAUGUAUAAGUGGUGAGAAAUUUUAUUUUUUAAGUUAUUAAUUUUUUUAACACAAGUAGCUCAUUAUUUUUAUAAUAACAUGUACUGUAUCAUUCUGUAUUCUGAACACGCUGAAAGAUCUCUACAUGAUUGAGGGUUUUCGUUAUACGAAGAUAGUUUCUAAUGAUCGCUAAAAAUUGCACUUUCUUGCACAUGUAUGUGCUGGCUUUGAUUCACCCACCUCAACUUCCAUACUUGCCAUGUAUGUGCUAAUAUUAUUUUAAGUAAAUGAGUCCAUGAUCAAAAUAAAAUUACAUCCUAAGUUUAUUAAUUAUUUAAGUUCACAUAGAGUUUGGUGGAGAGGAGAGCUGCCAAUAUUAUUUCAAGAUCGCCAAAUUAAUGGAGAAAAAACUAUAUUGUAAGGUCGACAGUUUGGUCAAGUUCACUUAUGGAUCAUGCACCCCCACAUGGCACCUGUAAAUUCCUCCAGUUGUCCCUAGCUCGGUGCCACCCAUCUUUGACUAGCUACUUGAAGUUUGGUUUGCUAAUCCAAACCGGUGAAGACACGUCUAGUGAUUAGGAUAACGACUUGGAUGCAACUGAUACUUCAUCAUUUUAGAACCAGGGGUUUCGAUUUACCGGCAUACGUACAUACAUGACGCAUCACAUAUAUGUGGAAUUUGGCGUGGAAAAAAUGAAUGUAAUACCCCUAUUACCUGCAAUGUACUGGAGAGAGAAUGGAUGAUCAAAUUUCAAAAAGCGUCGGCUCCAGACGACAGAAGUGUGGCUACUGCCUAAGAAAACCGCUCCAAGUGUCCCAAUUUCAUAGAGGUGGGCUGGCUCACACGAUAGUGGUUGAUCAAUCCGAUUUGAUCUUUUCUUCUUGUUUAAGGGUUUAGCGGUCCAUUUAUUAAGUGCAUCACAGCUCAUUCAUUUGUACGUAUGACUUGAUAUGUUUCGUGUUGAUACAACCGACAUGGGAAAUGAGGAUGAGAUUAGUGGACAUUAGGUGUGUCGAUAUUUAAAUGUGAAAGUUUUAACGAAAAAUUCACGGUAUUGUUCAUUUUAACGAAAAAUCACAUUUGUACACUAAAAAAUCAAACAUGGUACCAUGCACUUUACUCUUUAUUUUAUCUUUAUCGUUAAAACUCUUUUCAAACCAUUUUCAUUGAUUUUCCUUUUAAAUUAAUUACUUGUUUACUUAAUUAUCUUUUUGGUGCAAUGAGGUUUCAAUACUAGAAAGUAGUACACUAUGUUAGAGUAAAUGUAGAAAUAUAGAAAAUCAACUAAAGAAUGACUUUGAGGUACGACUUGAAUCGUUUCUUUAAAUUGUUAUUUGUCCACACUCGAAUGUUUGCUAAAGGGUUAUUGGCAAAUCACUUCCAGGAUACAACAAAGUAUGAAAUAUUCGAUUAGCAAAACCGAAUUGUAUUCCCUUAGAAAUAACUAGAAAGAAAUUGUAUGAAUGUGAUAUGGAGAAAGAAGAGAGCAAAGAAAUUGUGUAGACAACAAAUUUCUCAAAGAAUUUUCUCUUCUUCCAAUGUUAUCAAUAUAUAGAGAGAAUUGCACAUGUUCAAGUUAAUCGAAAGUACAUAACUUUUGAAGUCAUAUUGGUUCAAUAUGUCAUAUCUGUUUGAACAUAUACAAAGCAUUAUCCAAAGGGCAUUUUAAUGAGUAUAUCUGAUGAAGAGCACCAAUUACCUAAAGAUCAUAUUUGCUAGGAAAAUGAUUACACUUGUUGACCAUGAGUCAUGUCUUUUUUGGCAACAAUCAAAAGAUGCGGUUUUUAAAUUGAAGAGAUGUGAUUGUUGGGAAGGAAUCCAACUCUAUUCUCUGCCAAUACAAAACGCACGCAUAUGCAUAUACAUAUUUUAUAUAUCUAUAUAUAUAUAUAUAUAUAUAUAUAUAUAUAUAUUCUUGAAAUAUCCUACAAUCAAGGUUUUAAAAAUCGCUAGGCGCUAAUCGGGCGGCGGGCUGGGGCCUAGCGCCUAGGCGGGGCCUAGGCGGGAGCCUAGGCGGACUAGGCGGAUUUAAGUAAAUCUAUCAUAUUUCAAGUAAAUAAGUGUCUGCUUCUACUUGAAAUAUAUAUAAUUUCAUCAUAAACUACAAAACAGAAUGCAUAUAUAUCAUGAAGUAUUGGAACAUAAUGAAAACAUGUGAAAUAAGAAUAUAAUGUUUGUUCAUUCAAGUAUGCAACAAGUCUCUUACAAUUUAUUGGAAAAAAACAAAAUACAAAAUGAAAGUUAUGUAUUUUCUGUCUAAGUGAGUUGCAACCUAGGCGGGUCUAGGCGGGCUAGGCGGAUGCCUAGGCGGGCUAGGCGGGUGCCUAGGUGGUCUAGGCGGUGGGCUGGGGCCUAGGCAUUAAUCGGGGCGGUGGGCUAGGGCCUAGCGCCUAGGUGGGGCCUAGCGCCUAGGUGGGGCCUAGGCGGGGAUUUUUAGAACAGUGCCUACAAUACACACCCUAACAAUGGUCAAAAGUAGUGUGCUGGUGUAUCAUGUUGCCUAGCUAGCUACAUAUUCAUAUUUUGUGGUUGCGAACUGGCUUAUGGGAUUGAGGCAACACAAAAAAUGGUGAGUUUUUCAGGCAACACUCAUGUGUGCCGAUCAAUUAAGAGUUCAAAAUCGUGAAAAUAUAAUGUACGUACUACGUAUACCAGUUCAAUAAAUCUUUUUUACUUUAUACAAGACCAACGUGCUUUGUCUUGUUAUUUGAUUGACUAAAGUUGUUAUCGUUUGCUAAUAUAUAUUUGUGACCUCAGCUUAUCAAGAAAUAUGAUUUAAUAAUAAUAGUUUUGUUGUCCUUUUGGCUCUCUUAAUUUGAUUCUAAACAUUAAAAUUUGAUUUCACUUUCCUGCCUGCUUCCUGCUUCUGCAUGCAUACAAUAUUGCUAAGUUUUGCAUUUUGGACAUAUGGAAUGUUUUGUAACUCAACUUUUGUCCUUGAAUUACGUUGUUUUGUGGAUGCACGGGAUCGGUGGUUAGAGAUCUCGUCUUGAUCGCUGUCAUGCAAAUAGUACAUACGUAAUACAAAGAUUAGGCAGAGGUAACUUUGUGUAAUUUCUGGUGCCGCUCUAUGCUGUGCGCAGGUGUGCGCAUCGCCUGCGCGUAACGUCUUGGAGAUGAAAUCCCAGCCUUCCACCUCUAAGGCCUUAAAACCAACGGAUGUGAUGAGUGUUAAAUCCCUUGUACGCAACCCAUGCGCAGGGGAGAAAUUCAGCCGACACUGUUUUCUCACCCUGAUCGAAUGGACUUAUAGCAGCUUCAAUAUACCCACCACAGGCCUAAGUUUGUAGAUAAAAUCACCACUAAGAAUUUGGGCCGAUUCUGAAAUAUCGAAGCCCAAACUUAGAAGAGAUUUUAAAACGGGAUUUGAGAUUUUUCGUCACCAGACUUGACCCAGCGAAGCUGGCAACGAAUACAGUACACACCCACCCACGCCCACCUAGGAAAUCCCUUAAUCUUAACGCACAAAACCCUUUGGGAAAUUGACAUUUUGAGAAAAACAUUUUGAAAAGCUUCCUGGCUCAGAAAAUGAUAAAACCAUGCAACCCAUAACCAUAUUUUAUUGUGUUAGUGCUUUGUACAAAGGAUUAAUCACCGGUGUUUAUAUAACACAUGAAAGUAACAUAUUCCUGCUCAUCUAUCUCAUUUGUAGAAGAGAUGUAAACGUUUCUAUUCGACUUUUAAUAGAUUUCUCUUCCCAUUGAGUAGAGAAACGUAAAGAGUGAGGUUCUCAUUUUGAUCCCGUUAAAAUUUGAAUGGUGUUGUUGUGUCCCAUAUAUUGGUCCCAUUGAGUACAGAAAUGUCUACAUGAUUCUAUCACAAGCAAAUAACAUGCCAUGUAUCUUGAGAAUUAUGAUAGCAGAAAUAAGCCUUAGAAAGUAAGCAUCUAAGGUCACUUCAGUCUGUGAAGGUCAGGGCCGGCCUUACGGGUAGCCAGGUAAGGCAAUCGCCUAAUUCCCCCAACUUCUAGGGGCCCCCAAAUUUUUUAUAUGUAUGUAUUAGUAUAUAAAUACUUUUAAAGUAAGACGGAUAACACAAAAAACUUGGUGGCGUAGUGGAAAGGAAAGCAUUUAUUUGGUUACCAUCUCCUGUUCAAAACAUGAUGAAGACUCCCCAAACAAGUAUUGUUUUUCCAAAUAUAAUUAGAAAGCCUAAUCUAAUAACAAUUUAGAUUAUGUAAACUCAAUUAGUACAUAUGCAUCUAAAAAUGCGAGACGGAUUCUCUAAUAUUUAUAUAUCUUUCUUGUUUUAGUAUUAAUUUUUAAUAGUAUUUGAUGUAGAAAUACAUUUUUUUUUCAUGUAUUAGCGAAUUAUUUAUUCUACAUAUCAAUGUACAAAGAGUCGGGGGUUCGAUAAUUCUAGAGCCCCACUUUUAAAGCUCGCCUAGAGCCUUCAAAUUCUCAAGCUGGCCUUGGUGAUGGUGCCAAUUGGCCUUUCCUAUAGCUUGAAUGGAAACUGAAGUUACAACCAUACACUUGUUUUGUACCUCCUGUCAUUCUCAUAUUGGAGUGACUCCCAAAUGGUUUCGUAGCAUACAAAAGGAAACUGGACUUUUUCACUUCGAUUUCUUAAAACUCAUUUAGCUAUGAUCUAACCGAUGAUGUUAUUCAAAUCACAUCAUCGACCUUGUUUCCAUCUGAUGUCCUAUCCUACAUAUAUUGAUUAUAAAUUUAAAAAGAGAGGGGGAGAGUCCAAGAGAGAGAGAGAGAGGGACAAUAGGAAAAAUGGGGAAGGGUCCCUUCCCUUCUCUUUCAAGCGCAUUACUAUUGAGUACGAUGCAAGAUUUCUAAGAACUUCACCAACUUUGUAAGACUAAUGAGAGAAGAUUUCAUAGUUCAAUUCUAAUGGUACAAAACUGUUCUCUACGCCCAGAGAGAAUUCCAAAAACAUAUAAUAGAGAACUGAGAAGCAGAAAAUACCUGUUUCACGUUACAUUUUCAGUGUGAUGAGCUUUGUCAGUAAACUAAACAGCCCAACAUCUAAAGCAGUAACUAACUCAGAUGAACUUCUAGACUCUAACCAUGACUUGACUGCAACUUUUGUUGUAAAAAACCAGCCAGCCUUGUCUAAGGCCUCAUGGAAUGGAUCAUUCAAUUCCUUCAAAUGCGACUAAAAUACACCCGCCAGACCUUUGUCUGAAUACUUAUAUUUCCCAUAUCCAGUAUUAAUUCCAAGCAACGGCAGAAGCUCCUCACCGGAUUCCAAUACCCGAGAUAGGUCAUUAAUCCAAACAUGUAAUGCAGUCAGAGCUGCCCCAAGAGAGAGGCCAUUGAGAUACAAAGACCACUGGGUCUGCGACCUUGACUGUAAGCCUAUAUAUAUCUGAAGUGUGAUCCCCAAGUCUAGUAGCUCACAGGCUCUCUCCAAGAGAUUGAGGUUCACACAAAGAUCAAUCAGGCAAUUGGAGUAAGCCUUCUUUACAUCCGAACCAAUCGAGUUAAAAAGUUGUGAAUCUUCGUUGUUGAACUUUUCACUACUUUCUUGCUUCUCCACUAAAAGUUUUAACACAUACCCUAGUUUUUCAUCAGCCCUCUCAAUGCAAUUCACAAGCUUGCAAAGUUCUUCCUUUGGUGUUUAAGUCAUCACAUUCAGGAGACAACCACAGAAACGCUCAUCUGGUGUUAUACCCAAUUCUAGGAGUUGAUUGAAUAUCUUGACAACGUCAUCAGUACGUUUUGCUUUACCCUAGCAUUGGAUGAGUGAUGUCAAAAUAAAGAUAUUUGGCUCAAAACCAACUUCCAACAUCUCAUUCAAUGUUGCUUCUGCCUCUAUGACUUUCCACACUACAAGAAUACAUGGUAAUCAUGGACGAAAAGGUCCAACUGUCAGGCUUCAGUGUUUCAAUACUCUUCAUUUCUUAAAAAAUCUCAAUGGCUUCGUCGGUGUAAACAACAUCAGCACACAUAGCUAAAAGGGUGUUAUAGAGAAUUACAUUUAACUCCAAUCCCUUUUCCUUCAUCUCUUUAUAAACAUUAAGAGCAUCAUCACAGUAACGAGCUAUACCAUAGGCCCUUAAAAGAGUUGCAUAGGUUACCCAAUUUGGUGAAAGCUCCUUGCUUAUCAUCUGUCGGUAAAUUUUCUUGGCCUGCCAAGGUCUCCUAGCUCUUCCCAUAGCAUCCAACAAAGUGUUAUAAAUAACCAAGUUUGGCUUAGCCCCUAUAGCUUUCAGUUCCUCAUAAACAUUCAAGCACCCAUCAAAAUUCCCCGAUUGCCCGUGAAUUUUGAUGAACGUAGAAAACGUCACUGGAUCAAUGCGCCGCUUCUCAGUCCUGGCCCGGUCAUACAAACUGAAAGCCAUUUCUACCUUACCCACACGUCCAUAGGCGUCAAUCAUAGCCGAAUAGGUAACAUCAUCCGGAUUACACCCAAAACCGGGAAUCUUCUCAAACCACUCCACAGCCUUAUCAAGCAAAGAACACAUCAAAGAGCAACUAAUCAUAGUCGAAAAGGUAACAUUAUCGGGGUUAACACCUCUCUGAAGUAUUUCGUCGAACAGCUUCUCUGCUCUCUCCAUAUCCUUACCCUUCCUACACACUUUCAAAGUCACAUUAUCCAAAAUCACCUCCCGCUUCGGUUUCAACCUCUGCUGAAAGUAGUUAAGCGCAAGCAAAGCAUUUUCCGGAUUGUUCAUGCUAUUCAGAACCACCACAGCGUUUGGUUCCAAAAUAUAAUCCCCUAGACCUUUUAAAGCUUCGAAAACAUCACUUUCAAUCGGAGUGCAAGAGUUCAAAUACUCAGCUACUUUCACCAAAGAAGCUUACCUGGAAUCGUAGGACUUGUGCCGCAGCUGUGAAGUUCUGGGGCUGCUGGGAUUGACCCAGAUAUAGCUUUUCGAGAAAGACCCGGAAUUUCCAUCUGGCCUCUGAAUAUUUCCAAUUUCUGGAGCUUUGGAGUUCUGGGCUUCUUCUGCAACUGGGUCUUGCAAAGAAACAUGGUGUAUUUGCAGAGAGGUUCUUGACUGAAAUUGCAGUGAAGGAAAACUGAGUCUGUGGGUGUUAAUUGCAAGGCUUAGGAGUCGGAAAUUAGUCGGGGAAGAAGAAGAAGGGAGAGAGCGGGGGGAGUUUGGGGGUUGCGGAAGAGAAAGGAGGGUGAGGAGCACAAGUGAUAAGCCAUUUUCCUCACCCUGUGGGGGAUUAUGAAAGGUGCAUUUCUUUUGCUUUGCAUUCACAGGACAAAUAUCUUUUUGAACUUGUGUCGGGCCUGGAAGUGAUUUUACGGCUUCGGAAGAUGUUCGAAGCCCAACUUGAAUUUCCAAGAGCUUUAUGAUCAGAUAAAAAGUUUAUUAAAAUAGGCAUUGUUUUGUAUAAGCAUUAAGGAAAAUGUUAUGAUUAAGCUUUUUCAUAGCAGUUUUAUCAUCGUUUUGUAGGUCCAGAUGUUCAAAAGCUUACGUGUAGGAAAGAUGAGUUUAAUAUAAAGAAAUCACAAACCAUAACAAAAUUGUGAGUGUUAGCUCAUAAAUUUUGUAGAAAAUGCAACAAUUGAUGUCAUUUAAGGUGUUCAGAAGCAUUCUUAUCGUAAUAGAAAAUUAAGAAUAAAAUCACCUCCACAUCCAAAUCUCCUUAAUGUCCCAUAAGAAUUUUAAGAUUCUUACGGUUAAAAUUUGACACAAAUAUAGGUUAUAUAUAUAUAUAUAUAUAUUUUAGGUUAUAUAUAGUUCUUGGCAAAAAAUCUAUAAAUCAAUAAAACACCGUAAAUAUUAGCUCACGAGAAAAUAUUAAAUUAACUAUUGAGCAUAAGAAUAUGUUGCAGAGGUAGAAAAAUGUUACGAGCCGUUAGGAAAUGGUGGGUUUUUGUAGGGUAUCAGCCGGAAUACAAACAUGGUGUUGGAUUAGUAGACACGUGGGGUUUUGGCUUUUGCUUAUUUUUGUAUAAACAUAUCAAUUAAUUCUCGAACAAACAAAAGGAGAAUGGAAUGAAAAGCAGGCAUAGGAGUAGUUCUUGUUUCUGGGAACACAUUAUUAUACACGUAUCUAGGUUGCUGCUGCCGCUCUCUCUCUCUCUCUCUCUCUCUCUCUCUCUCUCUCUCUCUCUCUCUCGUCGACAUUUGGAGGGGCCGAGGGAUCAAGGAUUUGUUUAAUUUAGAGUAAUGUUAAGAAAACAAAAUUUAUAAAUAAAAUUUACAAAUUAAAUGAUGUGUCGCUAAUAAGAAAUUAACACAUUUAUAAACGUUUAAGUAAUAAUCAAAUCAUCAACUUUCAUGUCAUUUAGUUAAUAAAAUUUAGUCUACAAAUUUAGUCUUCUUAAUAUUACUCUUUAGUUUAUGGUAGAAUCUAACUAUGUGGGGCUGAAAAUGAUAUAGUUGAGCAUUGUUAGACGAGAAAUGGUAGCUAAAUUUCAUUCUUUAGUUUACUCAUAUGAGCCCUGGGAGGCCAAGGAACACAUUAUCUUGAUCAAAUAGUGUAACUCAUAUAAGCUUCAGAAGAUAAGAGAUUGCUUCGGGAUGGGUUUUUGUUUUUGUAAAGAAAGAAAAAAAUAUAGUUUAGAUUAGAACAUGCUGGUAGGAGAGAAAAAUGGUUAGCUUUUGGAAAUAUAGGUAAAUAUAGAAAAAUAAUAAUGAGUUUUUUUAAAAGAAAUCAAAAUUUUGUUUGUGUUAAUAGAGUUCAUGUUACAUUUAAUAAAUGAGAAAGAUACGUAGCUAGAUUCUUCUGUUCACACCUCCUCAAUUCCACUCUUGACCAAUAAGAACGCACGCGCACGCACUGUGCAGGACAAAGAAGGGAAUGUGGAAUGGAAACUUUUAUUGCAUUGAAAAUUGUAGCAGCCACCAACUUCAUCUUCAUCUUCAUCUUCAUGAUGAGAUGUAUCUCUCUCUCUAUAGUCUAUACUAAUGAUAUAAGAACAGAUUAACGUGAUUGUGACUUGACAACCACCAAGAUCAACGACCAACUUUAUUAUUCACUUAACAAUAUAUGACCCUCCUAUAAUAUUAAUAUCGAACACUGCUAAAAUAUUAUCCCGAGAUUGAAGAAGUUAUCACGGUCCAACAAGAUGAUCGAUGAUUUACAUGACUGUGCAAGCUGAGGGAUUUUCUUCACUGAAACAGUCAGGGCGGGUAACGCAAUACCCCCUGUUGCCACCACCGUAACUGUCAUACACAGGCCUCCCAUAGUAACCAUCAUACUGGAUGUACGAGGCUAGCCCCCCGCUAUAACCACUGUGGCACGGCCCAGCUGCAUGCCCCUGGUAACAAUCCAUACAACACGCUUGGACAUGCGAUGAGGGUCCAGGAUUUAGCAGGCCAACUUUAGGUUUACCGUCAUCUUUAGGCGUACUGUCAUCUUUAGGCUUACCGUCACCUUUAGGCUUGCCGUCAUCUUUAGGCUUACCUUCAUCUUUAGGCUUACUGUCAGCUUUAGGCUUGCCUUCAUCUUUAGGCUUACCGUCAGCUUUAGGCUUGCCAUCAUCUUUGGGUGCUUUGGGCUUGCCGUCAUCUUUGGGUGCCUUGGGCUUCUCGGGCUCUUUGAUCUCAAUGCUUUUGAUGGCACUCCCACCUUUGCAGCAAAUCUUGUCCCUCAUCUUUUCUGGACUGCAGCAUACCACUUUGAUAACCACUUG
rnacentral:lncRNA from 1 species